AUGGACGUUCAACUCUUGGAUGAGGGAGACACCUUGACCUGGAAGCUAACGGGUAGUGGAGUGUUUUCGGUCAAAUCGAUGUAUUUAGACCUUAUUAAUUCUAGCCCAAUCCCGAGAUCGAUACACAUCUGGAAAGUUAAGGUUCCCUUGCGAAUCAAAAAUUUUAUGUGGUUUGUGCACAAGCAAGUGAUCCUUACCAAAGAUAACUUACUAAAGCGACGAUGGGUAGGUAGUUCUCGAUGUUGCUUUUGUGUUCACGAUGAAACAAUUCAACACUUAUUUAUUGAUUGCCCUCUCGCGAAGUUAAUUUGGCGGUCCAUACAUAUAGCUUUUAAUAUUAUCCCUCCAGUUAGCAUUGAUGCGUUGUUUGGGACGUGGCUAAAUGGAGAGACCCUUGAGAUUGCGUUAAGUAUUCGGAUUGGAAUAUGCACACUUUAUUGGGCUAUAUGA
rnacentral:rRNA from 1 species